rnacentral:sRNA from 1 species
UCAGCCUCUUGAGUAGCUGGGACUACGGGCACCCGCCACCACUCCCGGCUAAUUUUUUUAUAUUUUUAGUAGAGAUGGGGUUUCACCGUGUUAGCCAGGAUGGUCUCGAUCUCCUGACCUCGUGAUCCGCCCGCCUCAGCCUCCCAAAGUGCUGGGAUUAUAGGCGUGAGCCACCGCGCCCGGCCGAGAUUGCCCCGUUUUUUCCCACUGUCCAGGAAUCGAUUUAAUUUUUACAGUUAUUUACUUUCUCACAUUUUUACUAAGUCCAGAAUGUCAUCAAACUCAUAAAACCACUGGUCAAAAAAACCCAAAUGGCCACUAAUUAGGCAAUAUAGCACCUGCCUCAAAUUUGGGUUCAUAUGGAUUUUUUUUUCUCCCUUUUUGUGGAGAACAUAGUCUUGCUGUGUUGCCCAGGCUAGUCUUGAACUCCUGGGCUCAAGCGAUCCUCCCGCCUCUGCCUCCCUAAGUUCUGGGAUUACAGGCGUGAGCCACUGUACCCAGCUCAUCUGGAUUCUUGCUGGUUCUCUUUCUCAGCCUAAAUGUCUUGUUUGCAUGGAGAAAUUAUCAAAUGAAGCAGGAGUGCCAAACAAGCCUCAUAGGCUCUUCACCCUACAACAUCUAUGUUAGGUAGAAAAGUAUGUGGAUUUUUAAAAAUAAUCUGGUAUAAAGAGUUUUUAAGAACUAUCUUCAUCAUCUUAGUAUCAGAUUGUGCUUGAGAAGUUAGGUACAAUGUAAUGUGAUUCAUUGCUAAAAACAAAAUGCCUCCCACAAUUGCAGACUCACUUGUUUUACCAAACUAUGGAAUUUGUCAACACCUUUGUUUGGGACCAAGGAAGCAAAGUCAGUGGAUACCAUGUCCUGUAGACAUGUGACCUGUGAUAAGGCACAGACAACACGAACUGGCAAAAACAUUGGCAUUUGGUCAAAUGCUUAUGAGCUAAGGAUCGAAGGGAAAAAAUAGUUGUGUGAAUAAUUUUACCUCUUAGUUCUUAUGAAGGAUGGUUAUCGAGCUGGAAAAAUGUUUAUUGGACUGAUGCUUUGGAGCCUCUCAAUGAAUGUAAUAAAAAAAAUGUGUAGUGAGCACAAAUUUAUGGAUUUGCAGCACAAUCCAACUUUGAAAAUGUGAAAAUAAGUGAGUUAGUGAUAUGUUUGGUUGGUGUUAAUUUGAGUCCUAAAUAAAAUCGAGAACUGGUAAAAAGAAGGUCACUGUGAAAUAACUUGCUAUGAGAAGGCUUAGAGGGAUGGGAAGUCCUGGACGCCUCUUCUCCAGGGUGUUGGAGGAGAGAGGGAGGUGCUAGGUUGACAAGACCGCAUCUGCGCAUUGUGGUCACCAGUGAGUCUCUCCACUGAGGCGACAGGUACAUGUCUGUCGCAUUUGCAGCCAUGGCCGAUGAGAACAGCAGCAUUCCCUGAUGUGUCUUGUUUUCUUUUGUUCGUAGUGCCUGCUGUGUGGACAACUACGCUCAGCAAAGUUUUAGGGAGACUUAGCGGAGCCACUAUGAAGAAUCAGUGUCAAACGUUUCAUCAGGAAUCCCUGUCAAGGCCGGGUGUGGUGGCUCACACCUGUAAUCCCAAGACUUUAGGAGGCUGAGCCCUGCACAGAUGCCCCCUCCCUGUCCAGUUCCUCCAGUGAGACCGAGGCUGCUGGGGGGCCUCCCUGCAGCUGCUGUGGAGCCUCUGCCUGCUGUCACGUGAGCUGCCUCUGCCCACUUUAUCCUCUUGGGUUCCUCUUCCCCAGACUGGCCACGGGGGUGGCCCCUUCCUGCCCAGCCCUCUUUCUUUGCUCCUGUGAACACCUUCCUGCAGUACCUUCAGGGGACUGUUGGGGCAGCACCUGUCCCGGGUCUGAGGCCUCCUGGUCUGCUAGCCUGGCAGGAAGCUUGGCCCCCAACACAGCCACAGGCUCCCUGGCACCAGGUUUCUUUCAGUUCCUCUAAACUGAAAGCCUCUGUUUCCCAGCCUUUGCACGUGCUGUUUGCCACUCCUCAUGCCUGGGCCCUAGUGUCCCUCCCAGGAUUUCCCUGAGCUCCCCGCUAAGGCUGGGUCCCCGUUCUAGCUUCACAGCACCUGAGACAGGUGUUGGCUGGUCUCCCCACCCCCUGUCCUAAAGACUGUGGGUCUUAAGGGGCAGGAGCGCCCAGCACUGCAGAAUGAACUGAAGCCCCUGUGGGUUGGUCUGCGCUGCUGCUGUGCGUCCAGGGUGAUUGGAGAUUCUCCAGGUGUGCUCCUGGGGUCUGUGGUGGUGGGACACCCCCUUCCCCCAGCCGCCACGCUCCCUGCAGUAACUCUUGCACUUACUGUAAGUGCUUGGACUGUCUUGUGGUUGACAUUAGGACACACACUCAGGCCAGAAUUGGGCAAGACUGUUCCUGAGCGGGGCGUGCAGGGCGCUCUGGCCUGGGAGGUGGGGCGCGGGUCUGCUUCCUCCUGCAGGCCAGCUCAGUGUGGGGCUCGUGUCUGCCCAGAGCUUGGCCAGGCAGUGCUGCCCCUUCCCUUCCUGCCACCUCUACCACCAGCCUUCCCUCAGACUGCUUUCUGGGCCUAGUCUGUGGCAGGUGUCCGGGGCACAUUCUUCUCUCUAGCCUGCCAUGAAACUGUUUCAUUUUUCUUUUAAAAAAAUUGAAGUGAAAUUGACAUACUAUCCAACCAUUUGAACGACCCCAGACAGAGGUGGUGGUUGCAUGAAUGAGCAUGUUGUACAAACAUGACCUCUAGUUCACUGCAUUGCCCCACUCCUAAAAGAAAACCUGUCCCCAGCAAGCAGUUGCUCCCCAUUCCUCUCUAUCUUAUGGCUUUGGGUUUCAUUUUCAUGUUUUUUUGAGACAGAGUCUUGCUCUGUCACCCAGGCUGGAGUGCAGUGGCAUGAUCUCUGCUCACUGCAACCUCCCCCUCCCGGGUUCAAGCGAUUCUCCUGCCUCAGCCUCCCUAGUAGCUGGGAUUACAGGCACCCACCACCACGCCCAGCUAAUUUUUGCAUUUUUAGUACAGACGGGAUUUCACCAUGUCUGCCAGGCUGGUCUCCAACUCCUGACCAUAGGUGAUCCGCCCACUUUGGCCUCACAAAGUGCUGGGAUUACAGGUGUGAGCCACUGCGCCCGCCAGUCUGUGACUUCUUUAAAUACAAACUGGAUCAUGUUUCUCCCCUGCUCUAUGCCCUCUCUUCAUCUUUCAAGUCCUAAUUCAGAGAUCACCUCUUCUGGGACCCACUGAGCUAGUCCCAGCACCUCCUUCCCUUGUCCCCCCUGCUUCUAGGAACCACAUUUCUGGUGUGGCAUUGGCUGUACCGUUGGGGAUGCUACUGCUCCCUGGUAGGCUGCCAGGUCUUGAGCGUAGGGACUCUAACUUGUCUUUGUCUGGCAGGGGCCUCACUCAGCACCUGGCACAAUAGUAGGUGCUCAGGGAACUGAAUGAAUGGAUCAGGGUCUGAGGCGGGCAAGGGCUGCGGCGGUGAGCUCUGACCCCCUGGGUGGAGCGUGAGGAGGCCAUGUUGGCCUUCAGGGUGCACCCCGAGACCAGACAUGGGGUCCAAGCUGCCUAGGGCUGAGCGUUUAUCUGACACGUGUUCUGAAAACCUGGUCGUGGUGUAGGUGCAGCCCCCGGCCCUGGUCAUUUGGAAGUUUGUGUCCAAAAAAACCCACAUGGCUACUAUAGCACCUGUGAGCCAAUGGGGUCCUCCACCUGCCCACCUGCCUGCAGAAGAAACGCCGAACACUGCCGCCUAGUGGUCAGGGCCAGCUGGACUCCCUUCCCACCCCGCCGGGUCCUCAAAGAGGAGGACCCACUCAGGCCCUUUUCCAUCAACCCUCAAAGCUUGGGGUGAGCGAGAAGGGGGAGCUGCCCUGUCCUUGGGGUCAUUGCAGUCGUCUGCUUCCAACCUCUUGCCCCCUCAGUGCCUGCUGUCCAGCGGGAGCAGCUCAGGGCUCUACCUCCCCUGCCGCCCUAGACUUUGGGGAGCCUCCUUGCACCAAGCAGCUUGUGCGGUGCCGAGUCCUACUUGCACCACGUUGUCUUUACCUCUGGCAUUUUUUUUAUUUAAACAUGGGAGGCAGAGCUUGUGGUGAGCCAAGAUUGCGCCACUGCAAUCCAGCCUGGGUGAC